rnacentral:piRNA from 1 species
UAUAUAGAUGUGUACUCGGAGAGC